rnacentral:rRNA from 1 species
GACGAACGCUGGCGGCGUGCUUAACACAUGCAAGUCGAACGGAAAGGCCCUGCUUUUGUGGGGUGCUCGAGUGGCGAACGGGUGAGUAACACGUGAGUAACCUGCCCUUGACUUUGGGAUAACUUCUGGAAACUGGGGCUAAUACCGGAUAGGAGCUCCUGCUGCAUGGUGGGGGUUGGAGAGUUUCGGCGGUUGGGGAUGGACUCGCGGCUUAUCAGCUUGUUGGUGGGGUAGUGGCUUACCAAGGCUUUGACGGGUAGCCGGCCUGAGAGGGUGACCGGCCACAUUGGGACUGAGAUACGGCCCAGACUCCUACGGGAGGCAGCAGUGGGGAAUAUUGCACAAUGGGCGGAAGCCUGAUGCAGCAACGCCGCGCGCGGGAUGACGGCCUUCGGGUUGUAAACCGCUUUCGCCUGUGACGAAGCGUGAGUGACGGUAAUGGGUAAAGAAGCACCGGCUAACUACGUG